rnacentral:rRNA from 1 species
AUCUCUGUAGAGUCUGCAUAUCAAUAAGCGGAGGAAAAGAAACUAACAAGGAUUCCCUUAGUAACGGCGAGUGAAGCGGGAAGAGCUCAAAUUUGAAAUCUUCAAGCUUCUACCUUGACGAAUUGUAGUUUAAAGAAGUGUUUUCUGUUAGAUGAGUAGCAAAAGUUCCUUAGAAUGGGACAUCAUAGAGGGUGAGAAUCCCGUAUUUGGUUAUUCAUUCUAGCUUUGUGAUACACUUUCAAAGAGUCGGAUUGUUUGGGAAUGCAGUCCAAAAUGGGUGGUAAAUUUCAUCUAAAGCUAAAUAUUGGCGAGAGACCGAUGGCGAACAAGUACCGUGAGGGAAAGAUGAAAAGAACUUUGAAAAGAGAGUUAAACAGUACGUGAAAUUGUCAGAAGGGAAGCGUUUGACACCAGUGUUGUUUUUCCGAAAAUCAAUUACGAAUGGCUUGAUUCUGUGUUGUAUUGACCUUAUCAGCUUUCUUCACUUUUUUCGAGUCUUUCUUAAUGCACUUUUCGGUUAACAAGUCAACAUCAAUUUCUUUUGUUGUAAAAGAGUAUUCGGAAGGUGGCUUUCUUUUCGGAGAAAGUGUUUAUAGCCCUAUACUUCUACAAUCGGAGAGAUUGAGGUCUGCAGCGUAGAUCCUUCGGGGUUAGAUACACUUGUGCUAAGUUGUAGCUUUUCAUAGACAACUUGUUGACUAUGUUUAGUCUGCGGCUUACUCGCUUGUGCUAUUUUACCUACGCUUAGGAUGUUGACGAGACUGUCGAUCUC